ensembl:snRNA U6 U6 spliceosomal RNA
GUGCUCACUUCAGCGGCACAUAUACUAAAAUUGAGGUGAUGCAGAGAACAUGAGCAUGGUCUCUGCACAAAGAUUACAUGCAAAUUUGUGAAGCAUUUUAUAUAUUU